UACCAUCAUCACCUUGGAUAUUGCAGCACUGUACUAUUAACCCAAUUCCCUCUUGCUGAAUUUCCUUUAGAAUCUCCUGGAAUACAACCUGUUUACAUUGCCUGUUGGGGCUUAGUCCUUCAAACUUGACCCUGUUACCUUGAUAGUUGGGUAAUGCAGUAAUGCUGGUUGGAGCGGUUUCUAAGAGAACUCCUGAAUGCUUGUGAAUCCAGUCCAUUCCUAGGACCUUGGCACAUCCCCCAAGCUUCAGUAGGUAGACAUCAUGCUCAAAAAAACU